CGGAGGGUGCGAGCGUUGUCCGGAAUCAUUGGGCGUAAAGGGCGCGUAGGUGGCCCGGUCAGUCUUUGGUGAAAGCGCGGGGCUCAACCCUGCGUCGGCCAGGGAUACUGCCGCGGCUGGAGCACUGUAGAGGCAGGCGGAAUUCCGGGUGUAGCGGUGGAAUGCGUAGAGAUCCGGAAGAACACCGGUGGCGAAGGCGGCCUGCUGGGCAGUAGCCGAAAGGCUUUCAAGCUGACACUGAGGCGCGACAGCGUGGGGAGCAAACAGGAUUAGAUACCCUGGUAGUCCACGCCGUAAACGAUGGGCACUAGGCGCUUGGGGGAGCGACCCCCCGAGGGCCGGCGCUAACGCAUUAAGUGCCCCGCCUGGGGAGUACGGCCGCAAGGCUG
rnacentral:rRNA from 1 species